UACGUAGGGACCAAGCGUUGUUCGGAUUUACUGGGCGUAAAGGGCGCGUAGGCGGCGUGACAAGUCACUUGUGAAAUCUCCGGGCUUAACCCGGAACUGCCAAGUGAUACUGUCGUGCUAGAGUGCGGAAGGGGCAAUCGGAAUUCUCGGUGUAGCGGUGAAAUGCGUAGAUAUCGAGAGGAACACCUGAGGUGAAGACGGGUUGCUGGGCCGACACUGACGCUGAGUGCGCGAAAGCCAGGGAGCGAACGGG
rnacentral:rRNA from 1 species